CCCUUGUACACACCGCCCGUCACACCAUGGGAGUUGGUUCGACCCGAAGACGGUGCGCCAACCGCGAGGAGGCAGCCGGCCACGGUCGGGUCAGCGACUGGGGUG
rnacentral:rRNA from 1 species